GAUGAACGCUGGCGGCGUGCCUAAUACAUGCAAGUCGAGCGAACAGACGAGGAGCUUGCUCCUCUGACAUUAGCGGCGGACGGGUGAGUAACACGUGGAUAACCUACCUAUAAGACUGGGAUAACUUCGGGAAACCGGAGCUAAUACCGGAUAAUAUAUUGAACCGCAUGAUUCAAUAGUGAAAGACGGUUUUGCUGUCACUUAUAGAUGGAUCCGCGCCGCAUUAGCUAGUUGGUAAGGUAACGGCUUACCAAGGCGACGAUGCGUAGCCGACCUGAGAGGGUGAUCGGCCACACUGGAACUGAGACACGGUCCAGACUCCUACGGGAGGCAGCAGUAGGGAAUCUUCCGCAAUGGGCGAAAGCCUGACGGAGCAACGCCGCGUGAGUGAUGAAGGUCUUCGGAUCGUAAAACUCUGUUAUUAGGGAAGAACAAAUGUGUAAGUAACUAUGCACGUCUUGACGGUACCUAAUCAGAAAGCCACGGCUAACUACGUG
rnacentral:rRNA from 1 species